UACGUAGGGUGCGAGCGUUGUCCGGAAUUACUGGGCGUAAAGAGCUCGUAGGUGGUUUGUCGCGUUUGUUCGUGAAAACUCACAACUCAAUUGUGGGCGUGCGGGCGAUACGGGCAGACUGGAGUAACUGCAGGGGGAGACUGGAAUUCCUGGUGUAGCGGUGGAAUGCGCAGGAUAUCAGGAGGAACACCGGUGGCGAAGGCGGGUCUCUGGGCAGUAACUGACGCUGAGGAGCGAAAGCGUGGGGAGCAAA
rnacentral:rRNA from 1 species